rnacentral:rRNA from 1 species
GACGAACGCUGGCGGCGUGCUUAACACAUGCAAGUCGAACGGAAAGGCCCUGCUUUUGUGGGGUGCUCGAGUGGCGAACGGGUGAGUAACACGUGAGUAACCUGCCCUUGACUUUGGGAUAACUUCAGGAAACUGGGGCUAAUACCGGAUAGGAGCUCCUGCUGCAUGGUGGGGGUUGGAAAGUUUCGGCGGUUGGGGAUGGACUCGCGGCUUAUCAGCUUGUUGGUGGGGUAGUGGCUUACCAAGGCUUUGACGGGUAGCCGGCCUGAGAGGGUGACCGGCCACAUUGGGACUGAGAUACGGCCCAGACUCCUACGGGAGGCAGCAGUGGGGAAUAUUGCACAAUGGGCGGAAGCCUGAUGCAGCAACGCCGCGUGCGGGAUGACGGCCUUCGGGUUGUAAACCGCUUUCGCCUGUGACGAAGCGUGAGUGACGGUAAUGGGUAAAGAAGCACCGGCUAACUACGUGCCAGCAGCCGCGGUGAUACGUAGGGUGCGAGCGUUGUCCGGAUUUAUUGGGCGUAAAGGGCUCGUAGGUGGUUGAUCGCGUCGGAAGUGUAAUCUUGGGGCUUAACCCUGAGCGUGCUUUCGAUACGGGUUGACUUGAGGAAGGUAGGGGAGAAUGGAAUUCCUGGUGGAGCGGUGGAAUGCGCAGAUAUCAGGAGGAACACCAGUGGCGAAGGCGGUUCUCUGGGCCUUUCCUGACGCUGAGGAGCGAAAGCGUGGGGAGCGAACAGGCUUAGAUACCCUGGUAGUCCACGCUGUAAACGGUGGGUACUAGGUGUGGGGUCCAUUCCACGGGUUCCGUGCCGUAGCUAACGCUUUAAGUACCCCGCCUGGGGAGUACGGCCGCAAGGCUAAAACUCAAAGGAAUUGACGGGGCCCCGCACAAGCGGCGGAGCAUGCGGAUUAAUUCGAUGCAACGCGUAGAACCUUACCUGGGUUUGACAUGGAUCGGGAGUGCUCAGAGAUGGGUGUGCCUCUUUUGGGGUCGGUUCACAGGUGGUGCAUGGCUGUCGUCAGCUCGUGUCGUGAGAUGUUGGGUUAAGUCCCGCAACGAGCGCAACCCUUGUUCACUGUUGCCAGCACGUUAUGGUGGGGACUCAGUGGAGACCGCCGGGGUCAACUCGGAGGAAGGUGGGGAUGACGUCAAGUCAUCAUGCCCCUUAUGUCCAGGGCUUCACGCAUGCUACAAUGGCUGGUACAGCGAGUGGCGAGCCUGUGAGGGUGAGCGAAUCUCGGAAAGCCGGUCUCAGUUCGGAUUGGGGUCUGCAACUCGACCUCAUGAAGUCGGAGUCGCUAGUAAUCGCAGAUCAGCAACGCUGCGGUGAAUAAAUUCCCGGG